CAGGGCUGCCAGCGCGAGUCCAGCCGCGGUAGCCUGUCGCGACAUCUGCAGCAGUGCUGCCAGCUGCUGUGAUACCUCCCGCAAAACCCAAGACCCAUUGUUCUCCAGAUACCCUGCUCCUCGAGCUGGAAGACAGGAACAUAAGCAGGACAGGAUCAGAAUGAAGCUCCCGUAAUUCAGGAGGGAAUGUUCAGCUACCUGCUAUGCCACUUAGACAUUCAUGAGUCUAUGGAGCCAGAUGAUAUCCACUCAUCAGGGUACUGAGGGAGCUGGUAGAAGAGCUCACCAAGCCAACAUCAAUCAUUUACAGAAGUCCUGGCUAACUGGGGAGGUCCCAGGUGACAGGAAGUUGGCAAAUAUUAUGCCCAUCUACAACAAGGGCUGGAAGGAAGAUCCUGGGACCUACAGGCCUGUAACCCUAAUGGCUCUCCCCACACCAGCCAUGGGGGCUUGCACUGCAACGUCAAGGCCACGAACAUCAUCCUCAACCUGGCCAUUGGUAAGGUGAAGCUGAUAACUUCAGUUGCAGCACAAAUCUAAAGGACAUGCUAUACACCUAGUUUUCAGAGUGCCAGCACUUCGUCAAAUGGUGUUUAUCCAUGUGUCCCUUGGACAGGCCUUAAUUGGAAGACCUUUUCAAGCAUUCUUGGCUGCAGGACAUUCACCUGCCCCAGGAGAUGGCAAAGAUCCAUCCCCCUGCACAGUAGUAUCCAGCAAGCAACAGCUCUACACAUCUCAUGGCAUUAAGAAGCCAAGAAAGCCAGACUCUUUCCCUGCAACUGUAGCACAGAGUAGGGAUCACAGAUGAUGAGAUGCUUCUGCUGGUCCUGGGGGAAGCUGCAGAAGAAGUGGCUAAGCACUCUCCAUGGUAUUUCAGAAGCUGUGGCAGUCCGGUGAAGUUUCCACAGACCAGAAAAGGGGAAACAUCCCCACUGCAGAUCCCUGGCAUCGUGGUCUCCCUGCAACCCGGGGUACAACUAUGGCAUCCUGUGGCAUCCUGUGGCAUCCUUGUAUUACCGCAGGCCUGGGCCUGAGGGUAUAUCACCGUGUCCUGCAGCCAUAGGGAGGAGGAGGAGAGAAGAUCCAGC